rnacentral:ncRNA from 11 species
ACUUUUCUUUUCUUGGGAAGCGGAAAUGUUCAAUUAACGUCGAGGCAGGAGUGUGUUGCUGACGAAAACGUUGAAACAUUAAUACACGUUUAAAAAUCUUAGGAUUAGCUUUCUAAAUUUCUGGAAAUUAACUCCCAUACUUUAAGGUGGUCGU